UCAAGCUAAUAAGAGCAUAGGGCGGAUGCCUUGGCACUGGAAGCCGAUGAAGGACGUGGCAAGCUGCGAUAAGCUUAGGGGAGCUGCAAACAAGCUUUGAUCCUAAGAUUUCCGAAUGGGGAAACCCACCUAGAGUAAUAUCUAGGUACCGUGAGGUGAAUACAUAACCUUACGGAGGGAGACCCGGGGAACUGAAACAUCUAAGUACCCGGAGGAAGAGAAAGAAAACUCGAUUUCCUGAGUAGCGGCGAGCGAAAGGGAAAGAGCCCAAACCAAAGGACUUGUCCUUUGGGGUUGCGGACAGAAUCAUAACGGAGGGAAAUCUUAGCAAAAGAGGUCUGGAAAGGCCUACCGUAGAGGGUGACAGUCCCGUAAGCGAAAAGAUGAACCUUUAGAAUCUGAUCCAGAGUACCACGAGACACGAGAAACCUUGUGGGAAGCAGGGGGGACCACCCCCCAAGGCUAAAUACUAACCAGUGACCGAUAGCGCAUAGUACCGUGAGGGAAAGGUGAAAAGAACCCCGGAAGGGGAGUGAAAUAGAACCUGAAACCCUAUGUUUACAAGCAGUGGGAGCACUUUUUACGUGCGACCACGUACUUUUUGUAGAACGGGCCAACGAGUUGCGAUGUGUAGCAAGGUUAAGGCGUGAAGCGCCGAAGCCGAAGCGAAAGCGAGUCUUAAUAGGGCGAGUUAGUUGCAUGUCGCAGACCCGAAACCGGGUGACCUAUCCAUGGCCAGGGUGAAGCGAAAGUAAAAUUUUGUGGAGGCCCGAACCGUUGUCUGUUGAAAAAGGCUCGGAUGAGCUGUGGAUAGCGGAGAAAUUCCAAUCGAACUCGGAGAUAGCUGGUUCUCCCCGAAAUAGCUUUAGGGCUAGCCUCGAGGUUAAGAGAUGCGGAGGUAGAGCACUGAAUGGUCUAGGGGCUUUCAACGGCUACCAAAACCUAUCAAACUCCGAAUGCCGUCAUCUUUAUACUCGGGAGUCAGACUAUGGGUAAUAAGAUUCAUGGUCGAGAGGGAAACAGCCCAGACCGUCAGCUAAGGUCCCCAAGUACUGGUUAAGUGGGAAAGGAUGUGGGAUUGCGUAGACAACUAGGAUGUUGGCUCAGAAGCAGCCAUUCAUUCAAAGAGUGCGUAAUAGCUCACUAGUCGAGUGAUCCUGCGCCGAAAAUUACCGGGGCUAAAACCAGUCACCGAAGCUACGGCUUGACGUGCAAUCAAUUAUUGUUUUAAUCGAUUUGCAAGUAAGGCAAUUAUAUUUCAAAAGCUACCGAAAAAACGAAGACAGAGCUUUUGAAUAAAUUAUCUUCACGCUAAAACCGGCCAAGAGCCGAAGAAUUGAGGCAAUAAUUGGUUGUACGUCAGGGGUAGGGGAGCAUUCUGCAUAGAUUGAAGCUAUACCGUAAGGAGUGGUGGACUGUGCAGAAGAGAGAAUGUUGGCAUAAGUAACGAAAGGCAGGUGAGAAUCCUGCCCACCGAAUGCCCAAGGAUUCCUGAGGAAGGUUCGUCCGCUCAGGGUAAGUCGGGACCUAAGCCGAGGACGAAAGUCGUAGGCGAUGGACAACAGGUUAAAAUUCCUGUACCACCAAGCAUUGUUUGAGUGAUGGAGUGACACAGAAGGAUAGGUAAUCGCACCGUUGGUUGUGUGCGUUCAAGCACUGAGGGAGUAGUGGAAGGAAAAUCCGCCAUUACAAUUCUGGGGUGUUAUGAGGAGCGAAAUUUAAGUAGCGAACUUAUUGAUUUCACGCUGGCGAGAAAAGCUUCUAACGAGAUGUAAGGUGCCCGUACCGUAAACCGACACAGGUAGGCGAGGAGAGAAUCCUAAGGUGAGCGAGAUAACUAUCGUCAAGGAACUCGGCAAAAUGACUCCGUAACUUCGGGAGAAGGAGUGCCACAUUAGGGUGUUAAAGCCUGAAGUGGUCGCAGAGAAUAGGUCCAAGCGACUGUUUACCAAAAACACAGGUCUCUGCUAAAUCGAAAGAUGAUGUAUAGGGGCUGACGCCUGCCCGGUGCUGGAAGGUUAAGGGGAAAUGUUAGCGUUAUUCGUAAUGCGAAGCAUGGAACUUAAGCCCCAGUAAACGGCGGCCGUAACUAUAACGGUCCUAAGGUAGCGAAAUUCCUUGUCG
rnacentral:rRNA from 1 species